GUUGUUGUUGUUGUUAUUAUUAUUAUUAUUGCUUAAUAAAUUGCUGCAGCUUCUCCUGUUGUAUUGUGAUCAAUCAAUAAAUUUCCCUUUUUAUUUCUCUUCCCACAACCAAAGUCCAUUUUAUUGUGAAAAUAAUUUUUUCCUUGACUGGCCAUAAUUUAAAUGAAUUUUUUCGUUUGUUUUUAAGUGUCACAUAAUGAAUUAUUCUUGUUUAUAGAUGCCCUUAAUGGUUACAAGUUAAAACAUGGUUCAAAAAUCACAAGCUAGAGCAAUUCUCAACUAUCUUAGAUGGGUGUCUUGUGCUUAUUUGACAUUUAUAAUUAAUGAUGCGAGUGGAAUAUGUUUAUUCGACAUAUAUGAUUAAGAUACUUAUUUUAUUUAUAUGUUUCUACGAUUGAUGGUAAUUGUACCAAAUAUGAUCGUUAUAUAAAGAUAUUUGUUGUAUAUGCUUUAUGUGGAAUUACUACAUUUUUAAUGUUUGACACUAACUAAUGAUUAUUUACCAGAUUUCUACAAGAAAUGAUUGUUGAAACUUCAUUUCACUUUUAAGACUACGGAUGCCUUGGUUGUACACCCCAAUAAUCAAGAAUUGAAGACAUUGUAUCAGAGCUGUCUAUUAUUCCAAGACGGGUGAUAGAUUGAAUGUAUGUUGGCAAGUCUUGGUAAGGACCAUCUGGAUUUGUGAUCAAUUUAUAUACUGGCUUUCAUGUGCUGGUGAAUUAUAAGCACACUUAGUGUAAGAUUUGAGAAUCCUUAGAGGGCUCACAAGAUAAAAGAAAUGAAGAAUGGGCACAAAAACAAGUACAUC
rnacentral:lncRNA from 1 species